rnacentral:rRNA from 1 species
AGCAGCCGCGGUAAUUCCAGCUCCAAUAGCGUAUAUUAAAGUUGCUGCAGUUAAAAAGCUCGUAGUUGAAUUUCGGGAUCAAUAUGUUGGUCGUGCCUCGGUACGUACUAGCUUAUUGGUUUCUCCCUUCUGACGAACCAUGAUGUCAUUUAUUUGGUGUUAUGGGAAAUCAGGACUGUUACUUUGAAAAAUUAGAGUGUUUAAAGCAGGCUCACGCUUGAAUACAUUAGCAUGGAAUAAUGAAAUAGGACGUUUGAUUCUAUUUUGUUGGUUUCUAGGAUCGACGUAAUGAUUAAUAGGGAUAGUUGGGGGCAUUAGUAUUCAAUUGUCAGAGGUGAAAUUCUUGGAUUUAUUGAAGACUAACUACUGCGAAAGCAUUUGCCAAGGAUGUUUUCAUUAAUCAAGAACGAAAGUUAGGGGAUCGAAGACGAUCAGAUACCGUCGUAGUCU